ACUAUCUUUCUGUGCAUGACUUCAUCACCUUAUUGAUUGUGCUUGUUACAUAACCAAACUUCACCUUCUAGUUUUAAUUUCCCCAACACACAAGGAAAAAUGUAUGCACCUCCCACAUAACAAGAGAUAACUUAUGUGGAACAUGUUCGCAGACGCCACGAAGAAAAGGGUUGUCUUUAUGCUUGCUUGUUUGCCUUGUGUUGCUGCUUCUGCUGCUAUGAGACCUGUGAGUGCUGUUUGGAUGUGCUAUGUUGCUGCUGCCCUUAGAUAUGAAUGAUCAAUGCCUGCAACAGUCCUAUACAUAAUAAAAACAUGAUCAUAUUCGUAGUCUCUUCUAUGUGUAUCUACCUAGAGUAAUAAUUACAAAUGAAGAUGUAACUUUUUGAGUAUGUUACUUUUGAUGUGCUUGUGAUAUGCUUUCUUGGUAAAAUUACUUUAUGAUCAAGGAGGCAUAGGCCUAACUAGUGCUACCCUUUUUUCGGUUUUUUCCUUGUUGAAUAUUUCAAUUUAGGGCAAGUUACUCUAGUGAUAAUAUAACGGUGAAAUGAACAUUUUGGGGACC